rnacentral:rRNA from 1 species
AUUGAACGCUGGCGGCAUGCCUUACACAUGCAAGUCGAACGGUAACGGGCCUUCGGGUGCCGACGAGUGGCGAACGGGUGAGUAAUACAUCGGAACGUGCCCGAUCGUGGGGGAUAACGAGGCGAAAGCUUUGCUAAUACCGCAUACGAUCUACGGAUGAAAGCAGGGGACCGCAAGGCCUUGCGGGGACGGAGCGGCCGAUGGCAGAUUAGGUAGUUGGUGGGAUAAAAGCUUACCAAGCCGACGAUCUGUAGCUGGUCUGAGAGGAUGAUCAGCCACACUGGGACUGAGACACGGCCCAGACUCCUACGGGAGGCAGCAGUGGGGAAUUUUGGACAAUGGGCGCAAGCCUGAUCCAGCCAUGCCGCGUGCAGGAUGAAGGCCUUCGGGUUGUAAACUGCUUUUGUACGGAACGAAAAGCCUUCUUUUAAUACAGGAGGGUCAUGACGGUACCGUAAGAAUAAGCACCGGCUAACUACGUG